UAGGGCGGGACACGUGUUAUCCUGUCUGAAUAUGGGGGGACCAUCCUCCAAGGCUAAAUACUCCUGAUUGACCGAUAGUGAACCAGUACCGUGAGGGAAAGGCGAAAAGAACCCCGGCGAGGGGAGUGAAAUAGAACCUGAAACCGUGUACGUACAAGCAGUGGGAGCCUUGAUUUAUCAGGGUGACUGCGUACCUUUUGUAUAAUGGGUCAGCGACUUAUAUUCUGUAGCAAGGUUAACCGUAUAGGGGAGCCGUAGGGAAACCGAGUCUUAACUGGGCGAAUGAGUUGCAGGGUAUAGACCCGAAACCCGGUGAUCUAGCCAUGGGCAGGUUGAAGGUUGGGUAACACUAACUGGAGGACCGAACCGACUAAUGUUGAAAAAUUAGCGGAUGACUUGUGGCUGGGGGUGAAAGGCCAAUCAAACCGGGAGAUAGCUGGUUCUCCCCGAAAGCUAUUUAGGUAGCGCCUCGUGAACUCAUCUUCGGGGGUAGAGCACUGUUUCGACUAGGGGGUCAUCCCGACUUACCAACUCGAUGCAAACUACGAAUACCGAAGAAUGUUAUCACGGGAGACACACGGCGGGUGCUAACGUUCGUCGUGAAGAGGGAAACAACCCAGACCGCCAGCUAAGGUCCCAAAGUCAUAGUUAAGUGGGAAACGAAGUGGGAAGGCUCAGACAGCCAGGAUGUUGGCUUAGAAGCAGCCAUCAUUUAAAGAAAGCGUAAUAGCUCACUGGUCGAGUCGGCCUGCGCGGAAGAUGUAACGGGGCUAAACUAUGCACCGAAGCUGCGGCAGCGAUAUGUAAAUAUUGUUGGGUAGGGGAGCGU
rnacentral:rRNA from 1 species